CUUCCCUUUUUUUACAUUUUUAAGAAGGGCCUCCCCUCCCGUGUCUCUGCCUGACUCGAGGUGUGUUUCGUGACAACUCCAAUCUCAAGAUUGGAAAUGAACCUUGCCAUGGAUUUCUAGAGAAGAUUUUCCAAGUGUCCAUCAGAACCAGAUCAGCCCCAAGAUGAUGGACAGCAGCAACAGAAGAAGAAUGUAAAGUGCUCAUCUUCGGCCGAAGGUCCUCAGCUGCUAUCUGACAUCCAUCUGACUGUCUCAGCUGAGAGGUAUCUGCCAAGUGCCCCACAGAGUGGAAAUAUCUGAAGUCCGACAUCCAGGAUUUGAAAGGAGAUGUAUGUGGACAACAGGUUGAAGAU